rnacentral:lncRNA from 1 species
AAGCCCACAAAUGCUCACCACAAACGUUACUAUUUAAAUCCAGAAGAGAAGGCAGGUGCUUCUUGAUAAAACCAGGGCAGAGUUACAUGGUGUGGAGGAAAAGGGUGGGCUUGAGUUUCUGGCAAGCUCCAUAUGUAAGGGUUAAAAUCACCUGAGGUGAGGGACUCUAAGAGGCGCAGUGCUCAAACCUCCACUUGUACUGACUGUGUGACCUUGAGCAAGUGAUUUCAGCUCUCUGAGCUUCCGAGCUCUGAAGGCCCAGUUAGAUGAUACACCUAGAACACGCCUGGAACGAGAGCGGGUACAUGGCAAACACUAAGGAAGAUCUAGCUACGGUGAUUGCAGUGUCUUCUGUUUAGAGAAGAGGACUGGCUUCUCCUGCACCUGAGGCCUGGAGGGUAAAGCAGAGGAGCAGAAGCAAUAAACAUGGGAGAUGGAAGGAUCUGAAACCAGCAGAGGGCCCACGGUGUUUCAGGCCCUUUUCAAGGAUAAAGGUGUACAAAGAUGAAGAAACACAGUCCUUGCCUCCAGGGGUUUAGAGUCUAGUGUUCCUAUAACGUGUAAUAGCAAUA